rnacentral:rRNA from 1 species
UACGUAGGGACCAAGCGUUGUCCGGAAUCAUUGGGCGUAAAGAGCGUGUAGGCGGCUUGUUAAGUCUUGUGUGAAAUCUCGGGGCUCAACCCCGAGCGGUCAUGAGAAACUGGCAGGCUAGAGUCCGGGAGAGGAGAGUGGAAUUCCUGGUGUAGCGGUGAAAUGCGCAGAUAUCAGGAAGAACACCCGUGGCGAAAGCGGCUCUCUGGAACGGUACUGACGCUGAGACGCGAAAGCGUGGGGAGCGAACAGG